AUUGAACGCUGGCGGAAUGCUUUACACAUGCAAGUCGAGCGGCAACGCGGGGCAACCUGGCGGCGAGCGGCGAACGGGUGAGUAACAUAUCGGAACGUACCCAUUGGUGGGGGAUAACACAUCGAAAGAUGUGCUAAUACCGCAUACGACCUGAGGGUGAAAGGGGGGGAUCGCAAGACCUCUCGCCGUUGGAGCGGCCGAUAUCGGAUUAGCUAGUUGGUGAGGUAAAGGCUCACCAAGGCGACGAUCCGUAGCUGGUCUGAGAGGACGACCAGCCACACUGGAACUGAGACACGGUCCAGACUCCUACGGGAGGCAGCAGUGGGGAAUUUUGGACAAUGGGGGCAACCCUGAUCCAGCCAUUCCGCGUGAGGGAAGAAGGCCUUCGGGUUGUAAACCUCUUUCGGCAGGAACGAAAAGGUGGGGGCUAAUACCCUUUAUCAAUGGCGGUACCUGAGGAAGAAGCACCGGCUAACUACGUGCCAGCCGCCGCCGUAA
rnacentral:rRNA from 1 species